rnacentral:lncRNA from 1 species
AUCCCCGAGCCGAGCCGUAAGGUCCUUAAGUGAGUAACUUUGCCCUGGAGGAAAGUGGAUUCUACGAAGGGAGUUAAGAACAGACACUGAGUCCCAGCAACUCUGGAGGCUGAGGCGGGAGCAUCGCUUGAGCCCAGGAGUUCGAGGCAGCCGUGAGCCGUAAUCGUGUCGCGCCACUGUACUCAAGCCUCCAGACCGGGCGACAGAGCAAGACCCCGAGACCCCUCCCAUUAAAAAAAAAUGAACACUGUACGAAACGCUGCGGUUUCAGAGCUGGAAGAGACCUCAGACAUUCAAUCCCUUUUCCCAAAAUUCACUGGAAGAGCUCGAGGAAAACUUUCCCUUGCAGCUGUCUCAGUCUUUACAGUGCUUAGUUACGAAGACAGUCUUAACAGUCCCAUCUUUCGCCCUGUAAUUCAAGACGGUAUUCCUAAAUCAGGAAUUUUAAUAGAUCAGAAUACGGCAGUCUGUUUUCCUGGGCAUCAAUUAUAAUAUAACCUUGUACUGUCACACUGGUCUUUGACUUCGACGAUGAAAAAGAAAGAAAGGCUCAGAAAGAUGGGUCCCGGAAGCAGCCGAGGAAAACAGUAUCUCUGUAGAAGCUAUUAAUGUUUCACCUACCA